AAUAGAUACCCGGGUAGUCCACGCCGUAAACGAUGAGUGCUAAGUGUUAGGGGGUUUCCGCCCCUUAGUGCUGCAGCUAACGCAUUAAGCACUCCGCCUGGGGAGUACGGUCGCAAGACUGAAACUCAAAGGAAUUGACGGGGGCCCGCACAAGCGGUGGAGCAUGUGGUUUAAUUCGAAGCAACGCGAAGAGCCUUACCAGGUCUUGACAUCCCAUUGACCACUAUGGAGACAUAGUUUUCCCUUCGGGGACAACGGUGACAGGUGGUGCAUGGUUGUCGUCAGCUCGUGUCGUGAGAUGUUGGGUUAAGUCCCGCAACGAGCGCAACCCUUGUUCUUAGUUGCCAUCAUUUAGUUGGGCACUCUAAGGAGACUGCCGGUGACAAACCGGAGGAAGGUGGGGAUGACGUCAAAUCAUCAUGCCCCUUAUGACCUGGGCUACACACGUGCUACAAUGGACGGUACAAACGGUUGCCAACCCGCGAGGGGAGCUAAUCCGAUAAAACCGUUCUCAGUUCGGAUUGUAGGCUGCAACUCGCCUACA
rnacentral:rRNA from 1 species